rnacentral:siRNA from 1 species
GAUACCAUAUUAGUAUGAGCCUA